UAUCUUAAAAUCUUGUUGGAGUUGCUUCAGAACCCUAAACCCUAAUUCUUCUGUUUCCGGUACCAAAUCGAUCAAAUCCACGGAGCAGUAGCGGCGGAAAUGGCGUCGCUGGCCUUGUCCGGGAUCGGCUUGUUGCAUCUCCGUAAAAGUCCUCAUUCCGUCGCCAAAGUUCCAGCAGCUAUUAGAUGUAGUAAGUUGUCGGAGUCGUUGAAGUACAAAGACAAUGGGAAAUCGACAGCUGUUGGCCGCGACUACAACGGCCAAGCAGCGUUGCCCGACGUCUUCCUCGAAAGAAUUCCUGCUCAAAAAAGCGACACGAGGCUGCGUAUUUUCUCUGGCACUGCAAAUAUACCUCUGGCUCAGGAAAUUGCUUGUUAUAUGGGUCUGGAGCUUGGUAAUAUUAAGAUCAAACGAUUUGCUGAUGGGGAGAUUUAUGUUCAAUUGCAAGAGAGUGUUCGUGGGUGUGACGUUUAUCUUGUGCAACCUACGUGUCCUCCCGCAAAUGAAAAUCUUAUGGAACUGUUGAUAAUGAUUGACGCUUGCCGCCGUGCAUCAGCCAAAAAUAUCACUACCGUUAUCCCAUACUUUGGAUAUGCUCGUGCAGAUCGGAAGACUCAAGGGCGUGAAUCAAUUGCUGCAAAGCUUGUGGCCAAUUUAAUUACUGAAGCUGGUGCGGACAGGGUUCUGGCGUGCGACCUCCAUUCUGGACAGUCGAUUGGAUAUUUUGAUAUUCCGGUGGAUCAUGUACAUGGUCAGCCUGUCAUACUUGAUUAUCUUGCAAGCAAGACAAUAUCUUCGGAUGAUUUGGUUGUGGUCUCACCGGAUGUUGGUGGGGUUGCUAGAGCUAGAGCUUUUGCCAAAAAGUUGUCGGAUGCUCCUUUGGCCAUUGUAGAUAAAAGACGUCAGGGUCAUAAUGUUGCUGAGGUAAUGAAUUUGAUCGGUGAUGUCCGUGGCAAGGUUGCAGUAAUGGUAGAUGAUAUGAUCGAUACUGCUGGGACUAUUUCGAAAGGAGCUGCUCUGUUACAUCAAGAAGGUGCAAGGGAGGUAUAUGCUUGCAGCACUCAUGCCGUGUUUAGUCCUCCGGCGAUAGAGAGAUUGUCGAGCGGGCUAUUUCAAGAGGUCAUCAUAACAAACACCAUUCCGGUGGCGGAGAAGAAUUACUUCCCGCAGCUCACGAUCUUGUCCAUGGCGAACCUUCUUGGCGAAACUAUAUGGCGCGUGCACGAUGAUUGUGCUGGUGGAUUCGAGCCGUAUUCGAGCUUGGGCAUUGACUGACGUCGAUAUCGACGAGUUUCCGACUCUAUUAUGGUCACACAACACAGCAUACAUGGAAAGAUAUGGAAUCAGGAACAGGAACAGGAACAGAAAUAGGAAUGUCCUUAACUGACAGAGCAAACAUGCCUGAAAGCUGUUCGACUUUAUUUAUCAGAAGCUUCAAUAAUGGCACCUUCGACGAAGUCCCACAACAUCCCACCAUUAUCAG